GUCUACAGCCAUGCCACCCUGAACAAGCCCGAUCCCAUCUGAUCUCGGAAGCUAAGCAGGAUUGGGCCUGGUUAGUACUUGGACGAGAGACCACCUAGGAAGACAAGGUGCUAUAGGCA
rnacentral:rRNA from 1 species